UUUUCUACAAAUCGGAAUGACCUGAAAUUUAGAGCGUGUGUUCAUAAAAAAUAGGCGAAUCUACAAAAAAUAUCAAAAAAAUAUUUUACAUGAAAAAAAUUGACCAAAAUAACCCAGAAAAGUUUUGGGGGUAUAUUUUGGUCAUUUUUUUUUUUACGAAUUAUUUUUUUUUAUAUUUUUCUUAGGUGUGUCUCACUAAGAUGUACACACGCUCCAAAUUUCAAGUCAUUCCAAUUUGUAGAAAA
rnacentral:pre_miRNA from 1 species